rnacentral:rRNA from 1 species
UACGUAGGGGGCAAGCGUUGUCCGGAUUUAUUGGGCGUAAAGAGCGUGUAGGCGGCCAUACAGGUCCGUUGUGAAAACUCGAGGCUCAACCUCGAGACGUCGAUGGAAACCGUAUGGCUAGAGUCCGGAAGAGGAGAGUGGAAUUCCUGGUGUAGCGGUGAAAUGCGCAGAUAUCAGGAGGAACACCGGUGGCGAAGGCGGUUCUCUGGGCAUUACCUGACGCUGAGGAGCGAAAGUGUGGGGAGCGAACAGG